rnacentral:tRNA from 1 species
GUAGACAUAGUUUAAUAAAAACACUAGAUUGUGAUUCUAGAAACAGAGGUUAAAUCCCUCUUGUCAACC